AAGGAUGCUGAGUGCAGGUGUGAUUUCCGUUUCACAAGUAAUUUGAGAUGAUUGAAACACCGGCUUGUACACAUGUCAACACUCAUCGAGUCAUCGAUCAAAUAUUUUGUCUCAAAUGGCUUCUAUUUCCUUCAAAAUGUUCUGAUUUCUUCUUAAGGUAUAAGUACGUUUAAUUAUUUGUUAUAUAAAAGUAAUUUAAUAACUCUCAGCUUUAUUAAAUAGGCUAUUCUUGAGCAAGAACGUUGCUUGUUGCACACUGCCUUGGACCUUGAUUGCCUUUAAUUCUUUAAUUUGUUACAAUUUAUAUUGUUCAUGUCAUUAUUUUGUUUCAAGGUUAAUUUUUGAACCUUGGGCUCUGAAUUUCCAUCCUAAUUGUAGUCUAGUUAGAAUACCACAAAAUAUAUUGUGUACCCCCUAAAAAUGCAGCAGAUUUUCAGAAAUUCUAUAGCAUCCUGUGAGCUGAUCAUACCCAGUAUUUAUUUAAUACUAUUAUACAUGCAUUAUUAUGAAUCUAUCAUACCUAGGGAAUUUAAAACCAUAAUGCUAUCCUUUAUACAACUAUAAAAUAAAGAUUUUUUCUCAAUAAGGAAGGUCUGUACUGCUGUAGCAAUUAAGCAAAAGCCUGUAGCAGUAUACCAGUGUGUGUUUAAUUUUUACUUAACUUGACUAUUUUAUAGCUUUAGUUUUACAUUUCUUUCAGAUACACCUGGGACUGCAAAUGUGAUAAUCUUUUUAUUAUGCCAAUACCUCCAGAAGCAAUGGAGAAAUCAGUCUCAAGUUAAAAUUAUACAGUCCUGUAUUCUAAAUCAGUAAACAACUUGGCAUGUUGCAUUAUAAUGAAGAGUGUAAUAUAAUGAAAUACUCAAGAAUGGAAUAGUAUCGUUGGAGAAGUGCAUUGCUCAUUAAUUAUGUGAUAAAAAGUAGUUACUGGUUAAAGAAUCAAGAAUCACACCUGGUCUGACUAAUAACAAUGUCCUGUUUGAAUAAGUGUAAUAUCAUUUAUACUUUCAUGCUUGUAUUGCUUGAUAGGCUGAUGUGUAGAAUGACACAUUAUUGAAAUCAAUAAAGGUCAGUUUCAGAACUUGCAAUUCAUUUUAUGGUACCAGGGGAACCACAUGACAUCAUUAAGUUUUCCCAGGGGUCCCUAUGAUAUC
rnacentral:lncRNA from 1 species